UAUUAUUAUUAUUAUUAUUUUACUUUGGCCACAUCUCAUUUUACAUCAUGUUCUCUCUGGGGAGCUGUUAAAUAAUAUGCUUAUUUGUAACCAAAUGAAAGCAAAGAUAAAUUCCCAUCAUCUCUUUUCCAUGCUGAAAUAUUCAAAUGGACAACUAUUGGCUCACAACAAUAUCAAAUUUGCACCUAACAAUUGACUUAUGAUGGUGGGUCCUAGGUCAUGGCCAAAACAAUUGCAUAUUUGCAUAAUGCAGUGAGGAUGUUGUUGCUUCUUUCAUCUUAUUGGUGUUCCAUUAUCGGGUUUGAUAGAUGAUUUCUUACUGGACCGGCAGCUAGUGCAUAAGGUUACAGGUAAAAAGUAACACCCCCACAAUGGAUGGGAUGAGGAAAAUGAGGUGAAUAAUCUUAAUUUAGCGGAGGAUAACAAGAAUGGCGGGUUCAAGUAGUAAACUAAAUGUGAUGUUAGAUAGGUUUAAGAUUCAAACUGCUAUGACAGAGUGCAUCUUUAUAGUUCUCUUUUCCUGCAUUAAAAAAUUUUCCAUAAAAAAAUUCUCUGAUGUUGUUAUCAAGUUGUCAACAAGUGCUUCCAUUCGCCCUUACAAUUUCAAAAAUAUACUUUCAAGUGUUAAAUUUUUUCAUUUUGAUGGAUAUCUUCUUUUAGUUUUAUUUGGAAUUUAAUGGUGCAGCAGACUGUUUAGAAUAAUAGGAUUAUUUGGAAGGUGGUGCUGCAUUGUGUCCAUGGGUGUCUUUCUAAAAGUCUUUCCUUGAAAGCUGAGUGAGCCUGUUGUAGAAUUAUGGCCUGUCUUUCUAAAGUCUUUCCUUGAAAGCUGAGUGAGCCUGUUGUAGAAUUAUGGCCUGUCUUUCUAAAGUCUUUCCUUGAAAGCUGAGUAAGCCCAUUACAGAAUUAUGGCCCCUGUAGUUUUCUUUGUAACCUCAUCUGGAAGGUGGUGUUGUGCAGCCAAGGCCGCCCUUUACUAUGAUUUGUUGAGUGGGCAUGAGUUGCCUUUGCACUUUUUGCAUAAGUUUUCCAGAGCUCUCGGGUAAUAAAAUUAUUUUGCAUCACUGAUUAUGUUGUCAAUUUGUUAAUUCUUCAAUACAUAUUUGAAAAUAGUUGUUAUUGUUAAUUAAUUCUGCUUAUAUUUCAUUGAAGCUUGAAAGGGUUGUUUCGAGCAAAACAAAAUUUCUCUUCAUUUUUGUAGUCAAUAUGCAAAAUACUGAUACUUUGUGGUCCUUGAUGUGAUCUUUAAAUGUUUUUAUUAGUGGAUAUCCAUAUUGUUCUUUAUGUUGGCUUGAGUUCAUGUUGGUGUCCAAGACAAAGUAAAAGGCUCUUAAAAUUUGUUGCAGAAAAGGG
rnacentral:misc_RNA from 1 species